rnacentral:tRNA from 1 species
UUUUUAACUCAGUGGUAGAGUAAUCCCAGGAUAACGCGUAAGCCUUUGGUUCAAACUCGACAAGGGGCU